CCGACUCUGUGUGACCCCAUAGACAGCAGCCCACCAGACUCCCCCGUCCCUGGGAUUCUCCAGGCAAGAACACUGGAGUGGGUUGCCAUUUCCUUCUCCAGUGCAUGAAAGUGAAAAGGGAAAGUGAAGUCGCUCAGUCACGUCCAACUCUUAGCGACCCCAUGGACUGCAGCCUACCGUUGGGAUUUUCCAAAACCUCUGUCCACUGGAUUUUCCAGGCAAGAGUACUGGAGUGGGUCGCCAGUGCCUUCUCCCUCUUUUGUCAUAAAUUGGAGGAAAGGGGGUUGAUAGUUUUGCCUUUUCUUCUCACCUUUGAGUGUGUUUUUUGAGGUGAUAGUGGUUAGAGCUCGACGGACAAUAUGUCCAACUCAGUGAGGAUGAAUAGAGUGCACGGAUGGAACAGGGGCAGGUUCUGAAUGACACCUUGGAGCAACAGAACCAAUUGCACUGCUGACUUCUCUGAGCUCCUUGUUCUGUGAGACCUCACCUCCUCUGAAGACACAGCACUACCUGCCAGCUCCCAAAACACCCUUGAAGUGGUGGGCAUCGUGACUCACAGUCAGAUGUGAAGGAUGAGUGAAGUGAGCCAAGAGUGGAGUCAGGAGAAAGAAAGCAGUAGGCGUGGCAUUAAAGAC
ensembl:lncRNA